rnacentral:rRNA from 1 species
AUUGAACGCUGGCGGCAUGCCUUACACAUGCAAGUCGAACGGCAGCACGGGGCAACCUGGUGGCGAGUGGCGAACGGGUGAGUAAUGCAUCGGAACGUACCUUUCAGUGGGGGAUAACGUAGCGAAAGUUACGCUAAUACCGCAUAUUCUGUGAGCAGGAAAGCAGGGGAUCGCAAGACCUUGCGCUGAUUGAGCGGCCGAUGUCAGAUUAGCUAGUUGGUGAGGUAAAGGCUCACCAAGGCGACGAUCUGUAGCGGGUCUGAGAGGAUGAUCCGCCACACUGGAACUGAGACACGGUCCAGACUCCUACGGGAGGCAGCAGUGGGGAAUUUUGGACAAUGGGGGCAACCCUGAUCCAGCCAUGCCGCGUGAGUGAAGAAGGCCUUCGGGUUGUAAAGCUCUUUCGGCUGGGAAGAAAUCGCACGGGCUAAUACCCUGUGUGGAUGACGGUACCGGAAUAAGAAGCACCGGCUAACUACGUGCCAGCCGCCGCGGUAAGAC